CCUACGGGUGGCAGCAGUGAGGAAUAUUGGUCAAUGGGCGGGAGCCUGAACCAGCCAAGCCGCGUGAGGGAAGAAGGUACAGCGUAUCGUAAACCUCUUUUGUCAGGGAACAAAGGCGGGGACUAGUCCCCGGAUGAGGGUACCUGAAGAAAAAGCAUCGGCUAACUCCGUGCCAGCAGCCGCGGUAAUACGGAGGAUGCGAGCGUUGUCCGGAUUUAUUGGGUUUAAAGGGUGCGCAGGCGGCCUGUUAAGUCAGCGGGAAAAGCCCGGGGCUCAACCCCGGCGAGCCGUUGACACCGGCGGGCUGGAGUUGGAGAGAAGUACGCGGAAUGCGCGGUGUAGCGGUGACAUGCUUAGAUAUCGCGCAGAACCCCGAUUGCGAAGGCAGCGUACCGGCUCCACACUGACGCUGAGGCACGAAAGCGUGGGUAUCGAACAGGAUUAGAUACCCUUGUAGUC
rnacentral:rRNA from 1 species